GUCCGUGCCAAGAGCUUUGCGCGUCUGUCUGGAGCUUCUUUUCUCCGGGUUUUUGAGCAGGGCAAGUAAGCUUUUUGGGGUGCAAGGAGUUCGCGGUUAUCUCACAAUGUCGGGUGAGUCGGAUCAGCCUCAGCCAGGACCCUCGCACGCUGGUCUCUACUCAGAGCGCCAUUCGGAGCGCCACUCUGAGCGCCACUCCGAGCGUCACUCCGAGCGCCACUCCGAACGCCGGGAAAGAGACCAGGCUGGGGUUCCAGGAGGAGUGAUACGAAGAGCUGGUAGCCAAAAGCGCAGGUCCUGGAUCCAAAAGGUUAUUGAGCAAAUAAUUGGCUCCCCUAGACAGUGUGUCACCCUCUCGGAAGUGGUGCCUGUCUCUGUACUGGCCGUCCAAAGAUACCUUUUAGAGGAUGAGCCACAGGAUACAGUGCCCAAGCCUCCCCUUUACUGCUAUGAUGUGACAAUCUCAGAUGGGGUGUACCAGGAGAAGUGCUACUUAGACCCCAGCUUAAACUUUCUCGUUUAUCAGAAUAUUCUUAAAGUUGGCAUAGAAAUGAGAAUUUCCAGAGUCUCGUGCCUUUACAAUGAGAAAAGAUUGGGCCAGGGAAUCCUGUGCAUAGAUAAGGUCCAGUGUGGGGAGCCCCUAGAUGUCGUUUCUGUAGAAACUCCAUUUAGAAACAGAGCGCAUGAGGAAAAGCCAGAGAGGCCUCUAAGAGGGGGCAGGAGUCACUACCUGGCUCUGUGGAACAACGAAGAUCCAUAUGGAGAUAUAUGGAAGGCGAACAAGCAACCCGAGGACUUCAAUUUGAACAACACAAAAAUAAUUUCUCUGUCUCAUCUUGAGAUGACCUGGAAUAGCAGAAAGAAUUUUCCUGCCUUGCUUGUAAGGAUCCUGCAUAUGUCAAAACUUCGAUAUUAUGGGAAGCCUAAUAAAAGGAUGACUGAGCCAUAUCAGACCUACUUGGAGGUUGCUGACAGUUCAGGCAUGGUGUCAGUGAUUAUGUGGAAUGCUUUGUGUCCAGAGUGGUAUAAGAGUUUGAGAGUGGGCUUGAUUCUUCUGCUUCAAGAUUAUUCUGUGAAGAAGAGCUAUUCAUUAAGAAUUCAGCCUGACCCUGUGGAUCCACACAUCAAACAGAUUUCUACAAUGGAAAUCUGCCUGAAUUUUCGAGAUCCUCCAACUAACAUAGUCAUCAUUGCAGAAAAGCACUUGAAAUCAGAAUGGAAAUUGCCAAAACUAGUUAACCGAUUUAUCACAAGAUCAGAACUAGACGAAAUGCCAGAAAAUAGCAUCUGUGAUGUAAUUGGUCUGUUAUCCUUUGUGGGGAGGGUGCAACGGUCAAAAAAGAGAGAAAACGGUGAAGACUUUUGGUCAUACCGCUGGAUUCACAUCACUGACGGAACUUCAGAGCAACCGUUCAUAGUCCAGCUGUUUUCCACUUCACAGCCAGAAGUCUUUGAAAAUAUUCACCCAAAGGCAUAUUUUGCGUGUACCCAGUUGAAAGUUGUUAAAAAUAACAGUCAAGUACCUAACCUGCUUUAUCUCACCACUACAAAUGAAAGCAGAGUGCUUAUUACUGGCCAUAGAGGCCAGCCAUAUACAUACGAUACCAAGGCAAAAAAAAUUAUUCAGUGGAUUAAAACGAAGACUAAUUUGGAAGCAAAGAACACUGUUAUUGGUGGAUAUUACCCCUAUCCACCAGUGCCCGAGACAUUUUCCAAGUAUAGUCGCUUUAUUAAAGCUGAGUGGCUCUUGACAACAAUAAGUGAAGUGAGGAAGGUGAUUGAAGACUUGCAGUAUAGGGAACAAAGGCGCAUUGCAAUUCAGGGGAUAAUUACUGCUAUAAAGUACAUCCCCAAUAAACACUCAGCUCAAAGUGCCCCAGCACCAGAAGCAUGUCAGACUGCUAGCCAACCCUCAACAUCUCAAGCAGCUGAAAAAGAAGGUCAUUGUCAAGAAAGAGGUAGUAAAAGACCUCAGGAUGACACACCAAUGGGUUCUCAGAAUUUUCCAUCUAUGUCUAUGGUUUUGAGUCUCUGCGCAAAAAGAAAAAUUCUUCAAGGCCCAAGUGCUAACCCGAUUCCUGUUCCUCAACCAGAUUCUUCUGCACAAACGAAAGGAAACAAACACAACAUAUCAAGUAUGUUCAUUCCAUUGUGUCUUUCUGUUUUAGUUAUUAUGUCUUACAAAAGUUGGUGGAACUCUGUUGCAUACACAUUUAAUAUUUGAUUUCAUUCUCCAGUGUUGUAUUAUAGCUCCUAUUAGCAACAAAUAAAGCUUCUCAUGUUGGUUUAAGUCAUCAUUAAAAACCUUGAAAAUUGCAUGCAACUAUAAUAAUGCCUGCCAGAGCCUGGGAAUAGGAAUAUAAGCAUGGAGACAGGAUGCUUACAAGGUAUCAGGGGACAAUUACCAGGACUUACUUCUAGUGUUCUAUAACACAUUAGGGUCAAGAAAGUUCAACUGCUAGUGCCACAGGCAAGUCCAGAAGAAUCACAAAUGAGAGAUGGGAGAGUCGACUGUGGCGAGAUAGGAAGGGUAGCUUGAGAGACCACCUAAAAUAUGCUCAUGUCGAUCCUGAAAGUAUUCCACGGAAAUUUAUUUUGGAGCAUGAGAAGUUUCUCACCCAGCAGUUUAAUUCUCAGCCUUCAAAGUACAUACCACCAGAAGGAAAUUCCCCCAAACUCAAUGAAUUUCAGAGUGCCCGGAGCCUUGGACAUUUUGAAGUAACAAUCCUAGGUUUGAACCAUGAGAUUGCAAUUGAUGUUGCAUUUCUACCUAUGUAUUCCCCAGAAGAUGUUCAAACAUCUCAAAUAGACACAUUUUUGACCUGCAUGAAUUACAGCUGUGUAUACCCACCAGAAGAACCUGUCAGUGAAAAGGUGCCAGAUCCCAAGGCAGUUGCAGGUGAUAUUAUAAGGGCGGCAGCUGACCUGGAUAGAGUCCACAUCAUUGGUAUCUUGGAUAUCUGUAAUUUGGGUAACAAUAAAGUGGAAGUCUGUUUGCAGAAAAUUUAUACUCCAAAAUAGGCUUCUUAAAGAUUAGUAGACGAAAUAAUUACAGGUUACAUAUAGUAUACUGCUUUAGAGAGAAUUUUUUAUUUUCUUGUUUUUUUUCAUCAGAAUAUUACAUGACCUUGAAAGUUAAGUGGUUUUCAGUUCAUCUUGUAUUUGGCGCUCUCACUUCAUAUUAGAUUCAUCAUUUGAGAAAAAAAAAAAAACCUCACUGAGUCAAUUUUAUGUGCCAAAAAUUACUUCACUUGUAUGUGACUAUUAUCUUAACUUGUAACAAUUUAUAUUUUACAGUUCCUUUUGCAAAAAUCUAUUUUUAUUCCAAUGUCUCAGUACGAGGUAUCUUGGCUUACACAAUUUAACAGCUUUCUGAUUUUAUUAACAUACAGUGAUAACUCUUGCAUUGCAAAUUCAAAGACUAAGUUAUCAUUCCCCUAAAGUGACCACCUACAUUUCUUGUAAGCAGUGUAGUGACUGUCAUGUACACACACAUGGAUUGUAAUGAUCCAGUUGCCACCCCCACCCCGUCUCUGCACUUGCUAUUAAGUGAAUAUGCUAAAAAUUUUCACUUCUUUAUUGUGAUUUCCAAUGCCUUGAAAUUUUAAGUGUUUGGACCAGUGUGUAAUGUAAAAUUUGGAGGCUACAGUAUAUCUACAUUCUUACUGUGUUUGUUGGCAAUUUCAGCAUAUGUAUUGUGAUUUUAGAGUGUGACAUUUUAUCUCACAUUAAUAUCUGAAGUGCCUGUACUAAAAGUAAAGAGAAGUAACUAAUGGAAUUUGUUUCAGUCUGGUUCUCUACUAUACUGUGUUUCAAAGGUAAAUGGUCACUCUACAUUUAUAAAGGCCUGUAUCUAACACACAUGUGGCUAACUAAAUGAACCAAAACAACUGUCAAGAUGAAUCUGAUUGUAGUCGAGUUAUAAGGAACUACAUGAGGAAACAAGAUUUCCUUAUAACCCUAUAAUUUUGUGAUGUCGUGUGCUAUAAAGUUUUAAUGUGGUGGGAAGCCUAAGAACUUAAAGGCAUACUGUAUUUUGUUUAUAAAGGUGUUCAGUUUUCUUUAUAACUGUAUUGAAUGGUUAAUUAAAACUGUGAAUUUUGUGUUACUAGUUUCAGAGUGUUAAUAAAUAUGUUAAAAUGCAGU